rnacentral:lncRNA from 1 species
CAGAAGUUCAAUAUUUCACAGUUUACAUAUAACUAAAGUUACAAAUGUUCUAAUUUGAACUUUUUUUUUAAAAAAAAACCUUUAUAUUUUUGAGAUUUUGGGGCUAAUUAUGUCUUUGUCUUACUUGUAACAGCCAAAACCACUGAGCAGUUCAUCAGAAUCCAUCGUGUGAAUACACACAGGAUGGGGCUACCAGAGACAUGGAAAAGAGCCUGCUGAUCCAAGCGUGCAAUUGUGGACAUCACAUACUUCAGGCUGAUUAUGGUUUCAGUAGAAACUCCACUUAUGAAAACACAGAGUGCAGAAUGGCUUUGAAAAUGUAGGAAAUUGCAGGAUAGAUUUGGUCAAGCUGACUGCAAUUCUGUCAAGAGGAGGGAGCACAAAGAACAUAAACAAAGUAAAUGUAAGAAGA